rnacentral:tRNA from 1 species
GGGCUCGUAGCUCAGCAUGGAUAGAGCGCCUGCCUUCUAAAUUCUAUUGAAGAGAGCCGGAAGUCGUGGGAUCGAAGCCCACCGGGCCCG